rnacentral:miRNA from 1 species
CACGAAACGUUUGUUCGCCACCACAGAAACCUAAAAUAUAUUUUAUUUAUUGUAUUUUUAUAAAUUAUGAUAAAACAAUAAAUAUUUGUGUAGUUUUAUCAUAAUUCAUAAAAAUACAAUAAAUAAAAUAUAUUUUAGGUUUCUGUGGUGGCGAACAAACGUUUCGUG